CCUACGGGGGGCUGCAGUGGGGAAUAUUGGACAAUGGGGGGAACCCUGAUCCAGCCAUGCCGCGUGUGUGAAGAAGGCCCUCGGGUUGUAAAGCACUUUCAGUGAGGAAGAACGCCUGGUGGUUAAUACCCAUCAGGAAAGACAUCACUCACAGAAGAAGCACCGGCUAACUCCGUGCCAGCAGCCGCGGUAAUACGGAGGGUGCGAGCGUUAAUCGGAAUUACUGGGCGUAAAGCGCGCGUAGGUGGCUUGAUAAGCCGGUUGUGAAAGCCCCGGGCUCAACCUGGGAACGGCAUCCGGAACUGUCAAGCUAGAGUGCAGGAGAGGAAGGUAGAAUUCCCGGUGUAGCGGUGAAAUGCGUAGAGAUCGGGAGGAACACCAGUGGCGAAGGCGGCCUUCUGGACUGACACUGACACUGAGGUGCGAAAGCGUGGGUAGCAAACAGGAUUAGAUACCCUUGUAGUC
rnacentral:rRNA from 1 species